UUGAUCAAAACUUGGGCAGUAGCAAUGUUGGAAACGUUUUGAUUGUUGUGAUUUGAGGUUGUGAUCUUGGAUAUAUACUUUAGUUUACUGGAAAGAGAUUGAUCUUGAAAAGGUUAUAGUUUGCUACUGAAAAUUAGCAUGAGGGCAGCCUAUUGUGCUCUUGUUCCAUUUAUGAGUUAAAGUUCUUCAAAGGCUACUACUGCUAUGAGAUUUCUCUAGCAAAUUCUACAUCCUUGAGCUAGCAUGAUGUUCUAAACAAGGGCAGAGAGUGUGCUUGUGUUACUUUGAUUGUGCUUCCUAAGUUGUGGUGCCUCUAUAUGAUGAUAUGUAAAGCUAUUGGGGAAGGAAGAUGGAGGUGUAUUACCUCUGGAAAAAUCGAAGGAAUGGCUGUCUUUGCUGCCGUUCACCUUGUUCCACCCUCUACUCUCGGUUUGUGCUGAAAUUUUGAAGUGUGUGUGAAAGGGAGUUGAAUGUGGUGUGGAGGGAAAUUUAUAGGCAGAUUGGUGUACUUGUGAGCCUUAAAUGAUGCUGCUGAAACUCUUGUUUCUAUCCAGCAGCAUAUCUCUCUUUUCUUGAUCUUUUGCAGCAACUUUAACUGAAACUUGGUGGUAUACUAAGGGUAUAUUGCAGCAACAAUCCUUUUUGCUGGUACAAGCGAGAGAAUGCAGGGGCUGUAAGCUGCUGGCUGUUUUAGUACUUUUGAGGGUGGAGAGUUUUUGUUCUCACAUAGUUAUUGUCACGAAAAGGGGAGAAAGAGACAACUUGGCUGCCACCCAACUGUCCCGAGAAGUAGGCUCGCUGCCCUGGCUCAACGGGCUGACCGGGUAGGGUCGCGGUGGUGUGCGAGGGUCGCGGUGGUGUGCGACUUGGGCUCGAAAAAAAGAGGCCCAAAGUGUAGUAAAAGAGCCGACUUUAGUUUCUUAGCCUUUUAGCCCAUACUUGUAUAUUUUGUACUAGCAUUCAAAUUUCCUUUUUCUUAAACUCUUAACUCACAUGUACUUAAUUAUGUAAGCUAAAGUGUAGUUCGGCAAGUAGUUGAACUUUCUUAGUUAGGAAAAGAACUCUUCAUAUUCUUCCUCGCUAGUUAUGUAUCAAAAAAAAAAUAUGGAAUUGCUUUGGUUC